UACUAAGUAAUCAAACCAAAUUUAGCUGGCUUGCAAUAACAACUGGAUGUUUCCGGUACAAGUAAUGUCAAGCAUGUCAACUAGUCAACCGUGCCUUGUAGGGGGUGUCAAUCAAAAACACCAUCAGACAUCUAACAAGCUAUGUUUAAAAACAGACCUGCACCUCUUUUAGCUUUGUUGGUGGAGACACCAGAGCGUAUACACAAUCGGUCAGGAAUGCAAACAGUACCAGCCUUCUUCCCAAUCUAUUUUUAGCGUUCACUGUCUUGCCGCAAAGUUACAGCAAAGCACACAAGACGAAGCUGACAAGGCUUUUUGCUGGUACUGAUCGUACUGUUUAUUGGUACAUGAUUUUUCAGUCAGGCGGCCAAAUCUUUUUUAAUGCAUUGCCUAGUCGAGAAGUGCUAUGGGAUUUUUUGCGCUUUUGUUAUAAGAAGCACAUUGUAUCCGUAAGAAUUAGACAUGCUAGCAUUCAGUCCAUCCUACUAAAUCCAGUAAUACAACACUUACAUCUAAUACUAAAAUUAAUUAAUUCUGAAUAGGUGGAAACCACCAACGACGAAGUACAAUACGUGUAUAUAUUUUCUAACCUUUUGGGUUUCCGGCUUCAAAAACAAAGACGGGCGAAGUAAACUGAGAUAGCUGAGCGGUUCGGAGUCUCUGAUGGAACGAUCUUCCUGUGACCCUCGACUAACUUGGACUAGUGACUCCGGAAACAUUUUCUCUGACCAUUAUCUUCUCAAAGUCUAAUUAUAGUCGGACCUGUUCUACCGUCACAACGCUCUCAUUCUCUGUCUAUAGGCUGUCUCGGUGUAGUAGGUUUUGUUUUCUAGCUGUUGCUUAUUUAUUUCACAGUAGGAGUCAAUGCAAAGAAGCCCGAUUCGUCA